GAUGAACGCUGGCGGCGUGCCUAAUACAUGCAAGUCGAGCGAACAGACGCGGAGCUUGCUCCUCUGACGUUAGCGGCGGACGGGUGAGUAACACGUGGAUCACCUACCUAUAAGACUGGGAUAACUUCGGGAAACCGGCGCUAAUACCGGAUAAUAUAUUGAACCGCAUGGUUCAAUAGUGAAAGACGGUUUUGCUGUCACUUAUAGAUGGAUCCGCGCCGCAUUAGCUAGUUGGUAAGGUAACGGCUUACCAAGGCAACGAUGCGUAAACGACCUGAGAGAGUGAUCGGCCGCACUGGAACUGAGACACGGUCCAUAGUCCUACGAGAGGCAGCAGUAGGGAAUCUUCCGCAAUGGGCGAAAGCCUGACGGAGCAACGCCGCGUGAGUGAUGAAGGUCUUCGGAUCGUAAAACUCUGUUAUUAGGGAAGAACAAAUGUGUAAGUAACUAUGCACGUCUUGACGGUACCUAAUCAGAAAGCCACGGCUAACUACGUG
rnacentral:rRNA from 1 species